CCUACGGGUGGCAGCAGUGGGGAAUAUUGGGCAAUGGCGGAGACUCUGACCCAGCAAAGCCGCGUGAGUGAUGAAGGUCUUAGGAUUGGAAAGUUCUUUUCUCCGGGGAGCAGAAAGUGACGGUACCUUAGGCAUAAUCCUCGGCUAACUACGGGCAAGCAGCCGCGGUAAUACGGCGGAGGCGAGCGUUUUCCGGAAUGACUGGGCGUAAAGGGUGCGUAGGUGGUUUGGCAAGUUAGGUGCGUAACUCCAAGGGCCAACCCUGGAACUGCUACUAAAACUGCUUGUCUUGAGUGCAGGAGAGGCAAGCGGAAUGCCUGGUGUAGCGGUGGAAUGCGUAGAUAUUAGGAAGAACACCAGUUGCGAAGGCGGCUUGCUAGA
rnacentral:rRNA from 1 species